rnacentral:rRNA from 1 species
UGGGGGGAUAUUGCACAAUGGGCGAAAGCCUGAUGCAGCAACGCCGCGUGAGGGGAGACGGUUUUUCGGAUUGUAAACCUCUGUCUUUUGGUGAAGAAGAAAGUGACGGUAGCCAAGGAGGAAGCCACGGCUAACUACGUGCCAGCAGCCGCGGUAAUACGUAGGUGGCAAGCGUUGUCCGGAAUUACUGGGUGUAAAGGGAGCGCAGGCGGGACUGCAAGUUGGAUGUGAAAAUACCGCAGCUUAACUGCGGAGCUGCAUCCAAAACUGUAGUUCUUGAGUGAAGUAGAGGUAGGCGGAAUUCCGAGUGUAGCGGUGAAAUGCGUGGAUAUUCGGAGGAACACCGGUGGCGAAGGCGGCCUACUGGGCU